UACAGAGGUGCCGAGCGUUAGGCGGAAUCACUGGGCUUAAAGCGUGUGUAGGCGGAUGCCUAAGUACCUUGUGAAAUCCCACGGCUUAACCGUGGAACUGCUUGGUAUACUGGGUGUCUUGAGCCACUUAGGGGCUACCGGAACAAAUGGUGGAGCGGUGAAAUGCGUAGAUAUCAUUUGGAACGCCAAUGGUGAAAACAGGUAGCUGGGGGCUGUGGCUGACACUGGAGACACGAAAGCCAGGGGAGCGAACGGGG
rnacentral:rRNA from 1 species